rnacentral:rRNA from 1 species
GUGGGGAAUCUUGCGCAAUGGGCGAAAGCCUGACGCAGCCAUGCCGCGUGAAUGAUGAAGGUCUUAGGAUUGUAAAAUUCUUUCACCGGGGACGAUAAUGACGGUACCCGGAGAAGAAGCCCCGGCUAACUUCGUGCCAGCAGCCGCGGUAAUACGAAGGGGGCUAGCGUUGCUCGGAAUUACUGGGCGUAAAGGGCGCGUAGGCGGACAGUUUAGUCAGAGGUGAAAGCCCAGGGCUCAACCUUGGAAUUGCCUUUGAUACUGGCUGUCUUGAGUACGGGAGAGGUGAGUGGAACUCCGGGUGUAGAGGUGAAAUUCGUAGAUAUUCGGAAGAACACCAGUGGCGAAGGCGACUCACUGGCCCAAUACUGACGCUGAGGCGCGAAAGCGUGGGGAGCAAACAGGAUUAGAUACCCCUGUAGUCC